rfam:Eubacterium sp. 68-3-10 unitig_0:quiver, whole genome shotgun sequence.
UAGGGGGACAGCAAAUGUUUUGAUGAGCAGCUUGGUCAUGAAAAAACAAUGACAUGUAUGCUCCCCGCAAUUACAGGAAGUAAUGUAAUUUACGGAAUGG